CUCAUUAUUAGCUGAACAUUUAGGACUCAUUUUUGUGCAAAUAUUCAUACAAUUUAUUUCUGGUAUGUUUACCUAUACAAUUUCAUAGGAGUGAAUUUUAAAUGCACACAUAUAUUAGGGCCUCAUUACCCAAAAGUCCUGGAAUAAAAAUAGUGGAAGAUACAGAGCAGUAUCUGGCACAGUUAACAUUAGUUAACAGUGAGGACUUACUGUGUCCCUGACACUCUUCUGGAGGCUCGAAGGGAUUAAUUAAAUUAGAUGGAUUAAUUCAUUUGAUAGUUACACAUGCCCAUGAGUACCAUGGUGGGUACUCUUACUAUUCCCAUUUAACAUACUAAGAAACAGGCACAAAGAGGUUAAGCAUCUUGUCCCAAGGUUAGUAGUGGUGCCAGAAUUCUGCACAAGAAUCUGUGCUUUUAAUCACUGCGUUAUGAAUGAACAUGCUCCAAGGAAGCAUGCAUUCCACCUGGGCAGACAAAAAAGAAACACUCUAGGCCCCCUUCUGCGUGGUCACGCGGAGCCAGCGCCUGGGCCUGGAACAGGGCCGUAGUCCCCCAGCUGCGCCCACCACCUCUCUACCAUGGACUCCCGCAAAGUGAACGAGCUUCAGGCCUUUGUGAAAAUGUGUAAGCAGGAUCUGAGCGUUCUGCACACCGAGGAAAUGCGCUUCCUGAGAGAGUGGGUGGAGAGCAUGGGGGGUAAAGUACCACCUGCUACUCAGAAAGCUAAAUCAGAAGAAAAUACCAAGGAAGAAAAACCUGAUAGUAAGAAGGUGGAGGAAGACUUAAAGGCAGACGAACCAUCAAGUGAGGAAAGUGAUCUAGAAACUGAUAAAGAAGGUGUGAUUGAAACAGACACUGAUUCUCCUCAAGAAAUGGGAGAUGAAAAUGCAGAGAUAACGGAGGAGAUGAUGGAUCAGGCAAAUGAUAAAAAAGUGGCUGCUAUUGAAGCCCUAAAUGAUGGUGAGCUCCAGAAAGCCAUUGACUUAUUCACAGAUGCCAUCAAGCUGAAUCCUUGCUUGGCUGUUUUGUAUGCCAGGAGGGCCAGUGGCUUUGUCAAAUUACAGAAGCCAAAUGCUGCUAUCUGAGACUGUGACAGAGCCAUUGAGAUAAACCCUGAUUCAGCUCAGCCUUACAAGUGGCGAGGGAAAGCACACAGACUUCUAGGCCACUGGGAAGAAGCAGCCCAUGAUCUUGCCCUUGCCUGUAAAUUGGAUUAUGAUGAAGAUGCCAGUGCAAUGCUGAAAGAAGUUCAACUUAGAGCACAGAAAAUUGCAGAACAUCGGAGAAAGUAUGAGCGAAAAUGUGAAGAGCGAGAGAUCAAAGAAAGAGUAGAAACAGUUAAGAAGGCUGGAGAAGAGCAUGAGAGAGCCCAGAGGGAGGAAGAAGCCAGACGACAGUCAGGAGCUCAGUAUGGCUCUUCUCCAGGUGGCUUUCCUGGGGGAAUGCCUGGUAAUUUUCCCGGAGGAAUGCCUGGAAUGGGAGGGGCCAUGCCUGGAAUGGCUGGAAUGCCUGGAUUCAAUGCAAUUCUUAGUGAUCCAGAGGUUCUUGCAGCCGUGCAGGAUCCAGAAGUUAUGGUGGCCUUCCAGGAUGUGGCUCAGAACCCAGCAAAUAUGUUAAAAUGCCAGAGCAACCCAAAGGUUAUGAAUCUCAUCAGUAAAUUGUCAGCCAAAUUUGGAGGUCAAGCGUAAUGCCCUUCUGAUAAAUAAAGCCCUUGCUGAAGGAAAAGCAACCUAGAUCACCUUAUGGAUGUCGCAAUAAUACAAACCAGUGUACCUCUGACCUUCUCAUCAAGAGAGCUGGGGUGCUUUGGAGAUAAUCCCUACCCCUCUCCCCCAAAUGCAGCUGAAGCAUUUUACAGUGGUUUGCCAUUAGGGUAUUCAUUCAGACAAUGUUUUCCUACUAGGAAUGACAAACUUUAAACACUUUUUAAAUAUUCAAAAUAUUUAAAACAAAUUUAAGUGUCUGUUAAGUCUUAUAUUUUUCUUUACUAAUCAUUUUGGAUUUUUUUUUCUUUGAAUUGGGCAGGGAAGAUAUGUAUGGAAGAUUAUUGCUCUAAUUUGAGUGAAAUAAAAGUUAUUAGUGUGAGGCAAAAAAAAAAAAAAAA